GAUGAACGCUGGCGGCGUGCCUAAUACAUGCAAGUCGAGCGAACAGACGAGGAGCUUGCUCCUCUGACGUUAGCGGCGGACGGGUGAGUAACACGUGGAUAACCUACCUAUAAGACUGGGAUAACUUCGGGAAACCGGAGCUAAUACCGGAUAAUAUAUUGAACCGCAUGGUUCAAUAGUGAAAGACGGUUUUGCUGUCACUUAUAGAUGGAUCCGCGCCGCAUUAGCUAGUUGGUAAGGUAACGGCUUACCAAGGCGACGAUGCGUAGCCGACCUGAGAGGGGGAUCGGCCACACUGGAACUGAGACACGGUCCAGACUCCUACGGGAGGCAGCAGUAGGGAAUCUUCCGCAAUGGGCGAAAGCCUGACGGAGCAACGCCGCGGGAGUGAUGAAGGUCUUCGGAUCGUAAAACUCUGUUAUGAGGGAAGAACAAAUGUGUAAGUAACUAUGCACGUCUUGACGGUACCUAAUCAGAAAACCACGGCUAACUACGU
rnacentral:rRNA from 1 species